rnacentral:rRNA from 1 species
UUGAAUGCGGAGUAAAGGGAUACUUGUUCGCAAGACCUCCCUGCUCUGUUUAAGACGGGAUUGGAUGCCAUGCGGAAGACACUAUUAAUUUAGUGUUGGAAGCAGUCUACCGAAGAGGUGGGCAUUACGCAUGCAACGCAUGCACUUGGCCGCCCGUCGUUAUUACUGUGAAUAAAACAGCGUGUUCAAGGCAGCCUUCGGCUGAAUGACAAAGCAUGGAAUAACAGGGGAUCGACCGGUGGGUUAAUCUUUUGUUGGUUUUUAAAACCCAUUUGGAUAAUUUGUGGGCAAAGUGAUUCAUGCAUUCCACUGGCUUGCCUUUGGUUUGCACUGGACCUUUGCCGAACACGGGAUUAAUGGGGGUUGUCGGGGGAAAACGUAUCGGAGCGUGAGAGGUGAAAUUCUUAGACCGCUCUGGGACGAACUUAUGCGAAGGCAUUUUCCAAGUAUACCUUCAUCAAUCAAGAACUAAAGUGUGGAGAUCGAAGAUGAUUAGAUACCAUUGUAGUCCACUACUGCAAACGAUGACGCCCAUGGAUUGGAUAGCUUUUUAUUUCAUGGGAUCUCUUCGGCACUGCUCCCCCUUCAACGCGAAAGCUGAGGCUAUGGUCUCAUGGGGGAGUACGUUCGCAAGGCUGAAACUUAAAGAAAUUGACGGAAUGGCACC